UACGUAGGGGGCAAGCGUUGUCCGGAUUUAUUGGGCGUAAAGAGCGUGUAGGCGGCUAGGUAGGUCCGUUGUGAAAACUCGAGGCUCAACCUCGAGACGCCGAUGGAAACCAUCUGGCUAGAGUCCGGAAGAGGAGAGUGGAAUUCCUGGUGUAGCGGUGAAAUGCGCAGAUAUCAGGAAGAACACCCGUGGCGAAAGCGGCUCUCUGGGACGGUACUGACGCUGAGACGCGAAAGCGUGGGGAGCAAACAGG
rnacentral:rRNA from 1 species